UACGAAGGGUGCAAGCGUUACUCGGAAUUACUGGGCGUAAAGCGUGCGUAGGUGGUGAGUUAAGUCUGUCGUGAAAGCCCCGGGCUCAACCUGGGAAUGGCGAUGGAUACUGGCUCGCUAGAGUGCGGUAGAGGAGAGUGGAAUUCCCGGUGUAGCAGUGAAAUGCGUAGAUAUCGGGAGGAACACCAGUGGCGAAGGCGACUACCUGGCCUGUUCUUGACGCUGAGGCGCGAAAGCUAGGGGAGCAAACGGG
rnacentral:rRNA from 1 species